UAGAGUUUGAUCCUGGCUCAGGAUGAACGCUAGCUAUAGGCUUAACACAUGCAAGUCGAGGGGCAGCAUGGUCUUAGCUUGCUAAGGCCGAUGGCGACCGGCGCACGGGUGAGUAACACGUAUCCAACCUGCCGUCUACUCUUGGACAGCCUUCUGAAAGGAAGAUUAAUACAAGAUGGCAUCAUGAGUUCACAUGUUCACAUGAUUAAAGGUAUUCCGGUAGACGAUGGGGAUGCGUUCCAUUAGAUAGUAGGCGGGGUAACGGCCCACCUAGUCUUCGAUGGAUAGGGGUUCUGAGAGGAAGGUCCCCCACAUUGGAACUGAGACACGGUCCAAACUCCUACGGGAGGCAGCAGUGAGGAAUAUUGGUCAAUGGGCGCAGGCCUGAACCAGCCAAGUAGCGUGAAGGAUGACCGCCCUAUGGGUUGUAAACUUCUUUUAUAAAGGAAUAAAGUCGGGUAUGUAUACCCGUUUGCAUGUACUUUAUGAAUAAGGAUCGGCUAACUCCGUGCCAGCAGCCGCGGUAAUACGGAGGAUCCGAGCGUUAUCCGGAUUUAUUGGGUUUAAAGGGAGCGUAGAUGGAUGUUUAAGUCAGUUGUGAAAGUUUGCGGCUCAACCGUAAAAUUGCAGUUGAUACUGGAUAUCUUGAGUGCAGUUGAGGCAGGCGGAAUUCGUGGUGUAGCGGUGAAAUGCUUAGAUAUCACGAAGAACUCCGAUUGCGAAGGCAGCCUGCUAAGCUGCAACUGACAUUGAGGCUCGAAAGUGUGGGUAUCAAACAGGAUUAGAUACCCUGGUAGUCCACACGGUAAACGAUGAAUACUCGCUGUUUGCGAUAUACUGCAAGCGGCCAAGCGAAAGCGUUAAGUAUUCCACCUGGGGAGUACGCCGGCAACGGUGAA
rnacentral:rRNA from 1 species